CGGGAGGGUGUUCGCCAUUUUGUGUGGCGGAGGGGAAGCCCGCCGCCCAGCACGGUGCGGGGUGCUGCUCCUGUGGAGGGGGUUGAGGGAGUUUUCUGGGAGUUUCCAUUUCCUUGGAGUCUGGUUGGGGUGCGCAAUGUUGUCCAGAAUGGCUGAACCACUAAGAUUGGCUGUGGUUAGCGCAGGAGACAGCUACAUCAUAGCUUCCUUGCAUCCGCACCUGAAAUCUCUCUUCAUGAUGUGUCCGUAAAUCAUCUCCCCCUCUCCAUCUCCUGGCUUCGCUCCUAUCGCAAGGUCUCUGCAUUCACCAGGCUGAAUUUCCCCACUUCUGAUGUGUUCCUUUCCUUCUUCAGCAUUAUUGGCUCAACUGUCUACUGUCCCGAGCUAAAUUAGACGUACAGUUGCAACCACAGCCAUGUUUUUGCGGCCGCAGUCUUUCAAGUUCUUGCUUCUGCUCUCACUUAGAUUUUUACCUAGAAUUUCACCAUCUAUAAUGGUCGGUGUUAUCUCAUGAGAAAAUCAAGUUCUCUCUCCCUCUGGCUUUAUCUUUCCUGUCUUGAGCAGCUGGAACAACUCUUUCAUCCACCCCUGCCAAAAACCGUAGGGUUUCUUGUCUGAGCUCAAGGCACUGAUGAUUCCUUCUUAACUAAGUGUGAGAGCAUUUCCCUCCUUGACCUGCCAGCCAGUUUCAACCCGGGUUGCCUACACAGGAAAGAAACCAAAAACAUAUUUCUAUGUUUACAUGUGUGCGUUUUCUGGGUAUGAAUUCUACGUCUCGAUUUUUAUAUCAGUCUUGGAAGGGGGUGCAGAGGUUGCCCAGAGGGUUGUGAGGUCUCCAUCCUUGGAAGGUUUUCAAGAUCAGACUGGUUACAACUUUGCUAGUAAGAGUAAUCUGCUCGGACCUCAUAGUCAACCUUUGUGUCCCAAUGUGAAUUAUUUUGAUCCAUGUAGCAGGUGCCAGGCAGAACCCUAUCCUGAAGAGUGAAAGGCUGGGAUGAUAAGACGCAGUGUAUCACCUGGGAACACCAGACAUAGCUAUGGAGUGUUUUUCUCCUGUUCUUGAAAUUCAAUCGUCUGUCAGGAUCAGAAGCAAAACAGAAAAUGGGUGAGCAGCCAAAACUACUUCGUAGACCUCUGCCUCCUAAGCUGCCAUCUAAACUAUCUACACCAAGGGAGAAGGUUGGUAAAGGCAAGGUUUCUGGACAAUACCUAAGUAGAGUGAUGAAGAGUACAAAUGAUGAAAAUAGAAAAGCAGUGUCUGGAGGUUAUGUCAGUGCUCAAGGGCAAGUCAAGCAGACGGAUGCUUCCCUCAGCCAUGGUCAGAUUUCCCAGAGUCUGCUGCAAAUCCAACCCAAAGAUACAUUUCUGUCUGUUCAUCAGAUUUGUCAUGAUCAAACACAAGUCCAACACGAAGACCUCCUUCUUCAAAUUCAGUUCCUACUUGGCAGUACCCAACCCCAGUCUGAACACAUUUCUUCUUGCCCAAUACAUUUCCAACGCAGACAUGUUUAAGCAAGAUAAUAACCAUGAGCAAAUAGAGAUCCAGCCCAAAACUACAGGUUUGCAUGACCAAAGGAAAUUCCAUGACCAAUAUGAAAUUAUUCCUGUCUAUGCAAGCAGCCAAAUGCCAAACCAAAGUGAAGAGGAAAACGUCCUUUCUGUCCAAACUCCUAGAAGCAAUUUUAUUACUACUAAAAAUCUCAGUGUGCCUGAUAACUGUAUUUUGCAAAAAUCGUAAAUCCUCUCGUGUGAAGCACCAAGAAUUACAGCGCACUGGCCCCAACCAUUUCACUCUUGUAUUUACACAGGAAAAUCUAGCUGCAGGUUCAUCCUUUCACCAUCUGCCUUUGAAGACGACACUCAAAAAGCCACUUGUUUCCCACUACAACUGCAAAGUCCUCAGUAGCAAGUUAAUGACUGAAAACAGGAGCUUGCAGACUGAAGUUAACACAGUGAUGUUAUCUGAUAUCGAUUUACCAGUAGUUGAAACAAGAAAGCCUGAGCAACAGAAAUUCUUAGGCAAUUGAUAGUAAAUAUCGUAGUAUUUUUUUGUUGGUACAGUGUUUUAUUGUAAGAUUUUCCUAAGCAUCUCUUGCAGGGAGAAAAUCAAACAAACAACAAAAAACAAACAACAACAACAACAAAAAAGCCAACGACAAAAAAACACCUUCAUUUAUGUGUGGGUUUUUAUUUGUGUGGGUCUUUGAAUUUGCCCUCAUUAGUUGAGAAAUAGUCAAUGGAGAAUUACAGCUUGUGCUAACUAAAUUAAAUGUUGUGUUUUCAGAUAACAGCAAAUGAUGAUUUAAAUGUAAACGUGUAUGUUUAUUUUAACUGAUGAUAAAAGGGGACUGUGAAAAGUCCCAUGCUGUAAAUCUUUGAAAAUACAUACAGAGAGAAUGAGCUGAUGUUGAGUUUCUGUACACCGAGGCUUCCUACGCACAGAGCAUUGAGUGAUCUUGGUGUAUUGGGCUGCUGCUCCAGCCACGUUAAGCAGGUUUAAAUGUUAAGCAGGUCUCAUGUUGAGCAGGUUUAAAAAUAAAUAGUCAUCUUGUUUCUUCCUCUUCACAACCAUUUACCAUCUACGUCUACAACUGUACUGAAACUAGUGUUUGUGUGGCCAUGCUACAGACGAAAUCAAGAAAUUUAUCCAGAUUGUUUAAAAAGCUUUGUUUUCGUGGGAUUUUCUUCAGGACAGACCAGUGUCCUCCUGUGUCCUACAUUAGGGAUCUCCCACAAAUGGUUGGGCUGAUACAAGCUGUGAGAGAAGUAUGAGACAGUGGAAGGAACAAGCAAUGGGGAAUUCCGUAGGCUGGUGUUGCUGCCAGUCACAUCGUAGCAUGAAACCUCAGCACUAGAGACCGUGCCUGAGCUGGAGGAAGAGAGGUGAACGCCUCAGAGGGCAAACACAGUCCUGCCUUCCCAGGGGACUACGUGUAGUACACCCCAGGUUUGUCAGUGCUUCUGAACCAGGUUUCCUUCCAGCAGAAACAGCGCAGUGAUAGUAGAGAAAGGUUUCCCAUGGGUUCCGUCUUGAGAUGUGUUGAUGGUAAAGCUGGGUUGCGCAACUGGAUGUAGAGGCAUGGAGGUGCUGCCACAAGCUGACAUUUUAUAAUUACCUCGCAUGAGAGGUGUCUGGCUCUCUGGAAGCCAACUCUCAAAUGUAGAAUUCCUGGGUACCGGUUUUCCACUCCUGAGUAGUGAGUAGCUCUGUUCCAUGGGAAGAAGGGUUUGCCUCAUCCUUCUACUGUGGUGGUCUAGGAGCAGGUUUACAGUUAUUUCUGUACUUCCACUAUGAAUCAUUCACACAGUGGAAAUGGUGUUUUGGUGUGUGGUAAUAAAGUGAAAACACGGUCUCAAGUAAUCGUCCCAUUUGGGGUUUGCAUGUGCUUUGGUAUAGGGGAAGUGAUUCUCAUUGCUGAUGGGUCCUGUCACACAGGUUGCAUGGACACAACUUCAAGAGGGCAUCUAUUCCACUGGCAGGAGCCCUGUUCACCAUGUGCAGAGUUUGAGAAAUGUACAUUUUGGAAGAAAAAAGUGGCAAUCCAAUUUUUCUGAUGAGAUGCAGCGACACCUGACUGUAGCAUUCAUGUUCCUAUUUGUAUCCAGUCUGUGCAAACUUGUGAAAGGAUAAAAGCAGCAUUUUGUGGUUGUCACAGGCUUUUCUUCAGAUUAAAUGGUCUGAGCACACCACUCGUCCAAACUCUAGAUGAGCGGGAAUACAGGUGCUGUGUCACUAGGGACUAGACAAGUAGUUUUGAGGAAGUGGAUGGUAACACACGAAGGUAUCACUUCACUGAAAAGGUGUUUUGUUAGAAGGGUACUUUGGUGUGUUUCUUUUCAGCUGCAUUGGAAAGAAGAAAAGUAUAAUAAAUCCAAAGUAUUUUUUGGGGCCUUGUCUCAGCCUCUCCAGUCCCUUUGAAGAAGGUCAUCAGAGCUGGGAAUAG